CACGGUUUGAACCUAGUGUUAACCGUGUUAGUGGCGGACGGGUGAGUAACGCGUGGGCAACCUGCCCCAUACCGGGGGAUACCAGCCGGAAACGGCUGCUAAAACCGCAUAAGCGCACAGUACCGCAUGGUACAGUGUGAAAAACUCCGGUGGUAUGGGAUGGGCCCGCGUCCGAUUAGCCAGUUGGCGGGGUAGCGGCCCACCAAAGCGACGAUCGGUAGCCGGCCUGAGAGGGCGGACGGCCACAUUGGGACUGAGACACGGCCCAAACUCCUACGGGAGGCAGCAGUGGGGAAUAUUGCACAAUGGGGGGAACCCUGAUGCAGCGACGCCGCGUGAGUGAAGAAGUCAUUCGUGAUGUAAAGCUCUAUCAGCAGGGAAGAAAAUGACGGUACCUGACUAAGAAGCCCCGGCUAACUACGUGCCAGCAGCCGCGGUAAUACGUAGGGGGCAAGCGUUAUCCGGAUUUACUGGGUGUAAAGGGAGCGUAGACGGCAAUGCAAGUCCGGAGUGAAAGCCCGGGGCCCAACCCCGGGACUGCUCUGGAAACUGUAGAGCUGGAGUGCGGGAGGGGCAGGCGGAAUUCCUAGUGUAGCGGUGAAAUGCGUAGAUAUUAGGAGGAACACCGGCGGCGAAGGCGGCCUGCUGGACCGAAACUGACGUUGAGGCUCGAAAGCGUGGGGAGCAAACAGGAUUAGAUACCCUGGUAGUCCACGCGGUAAACGAUGAUUACUAGGUGUCGGGGGACGA
rnacentral:rRNA from 1 species